UACAGAGGAGCCAAGCGUUGUCCGGAUUGACUGGGCGUAAAGCGCACGCAGGCGGUGGUGCGCGUGGGGUGUGAAAUCUGGCCGCUUAACGGCCAGGCGCCAUCCCAUACGGCACGACUGGAGGGCUGCAGAGGUCGAUGGAAUUGCCGGUGUAGUGGUGAAAUGCGUAGAGAUCGGCAGGAACACCCAGGGGGAAACCAGUCGACUGGGCAUCUACUGACGCUGAGGUGCGAGAGCGUGGGGAGCGACCGG
rnacentral:rRNA from 1 species